UAAGCAUAUCAAUAAGCGGAGGAAAAGAAACCAACAGGGAUUGCCCUAGUAACGGCGAGUGAAGCGGCAACAGCUCAAAUUUGAAAUCUGGCCUUCGGGUCCGAGUUGUAAUUUGUAGAGGAUGCUUUUGGUGCAGUGCCUUCCGAGUUCCUUGGAACAGGACGCCUUAGAGGGUGAGAGCCCCGUACGGUUGGACACUAAGCCUCUGUAAAGCUCCUUCGACGAGUCGAGUAGUUUGGGAAUGCUGCUCUAAAUGGGAGGUAAAUUUCUUCUAAAGCUAAAUACCGGCCAGAGACCGAUAGCGCACAAGUAGAGUGAUCGAAAGAUGAAAAGUACUUUGAAAAGAGGGUUAAAUAGCACGUGAAAUUGUUGAAAGGGAAGCGUUUAUGACCAGACCUUUGCCGGGCGGAUCAUCCGGUGUUCUUCACCGGUGCACUUCGCUCGGCUUAGGCCAGCAUCGAUUUCUGGAGGGGGACAAAGACCAUGGGAACGUAGCUCUCUUCGGGGAGUGUUAUAGCCCUAGGUGUAAUACCCUUCCGGGGAUCGAGGUUCGCGCUUCUGCAAGGAUGCUGGCGUAAUGGUCAUCAACGACCCGUCUUGAAACACGGACCAAGGAGUCGAACAUUUAUGCGAGUGUUUGGGUGUUAAACCCUCACGCGUAAUGAAAGUGAACGGAGGUGAGAGCCCUUUUUGGGUGCAUCAUCGACCGAUCCUGAUGUAUUCGGAAGGAUUUGAGUAAGAGCAUAACUGUUCGGACCCGAAAGAUGGUGAACUAUGCGUGGAUAGGGUGAAGCCAGAGGAAACUCUGGUGGAGGCUCGCAGCGGUUCUGACGUGCAAAUCGAUCGUCAAAUCUGCGCAUGGGGGCGAAAGACUUAUCGAACCAUCUAGUAGCUGGUUACCGCCGAAGUUUCCCUCAGGAUAGCAGUGUUGUAUUCAGUUUUAUGAGGUAAAGCGAAUGAUUAGGGACUCGGGGGCGCUAUAUUGCCUUCAUCCAUUCUCAAACUUUAAAUAUGUAAGAAGCCCUUGUUACUUAAUUGAACGUGGGCAUUCGAAUGUAUCAACACUAGUGGGCCAUUUUUGGUAAGCAGAACUGGCGAUGCGGGAUGAACCGAACGCGAGGUUAAGGUGCCAGAGUAGACGCUCAUCAGACACCACAAAAGGUGUUAGUACAUCUUGACAGCAGGACGGUGGCCAUGGAAGUCGGAAUCCGCUAAGGACUGUGUAACAACUCACCUGCCGAAUGUACUAGCCCUGAAAAUGGAUGGCGCUCAAGCGUCUCACCCAUACCUCGCCCUUAGGGUAGAAACGAUGCCCUAAGGAGUAGGCGGCCGUGGAGGUUAGU
rnacentral:rRNA from 1 species